ensembl:misc_RNA Metazoa_SRP Metazoan signal recognition particle RNA
GCCAGGCAUGGUGGUGCAUGCCUGUAGUCCCAGCUACUCAGGAGGCUGAGGUGUGAGGAUAGCUUGAGCCUGGGAGGGAGGUUGAGGCUGCAGUGAGCUGUGAUCGUGUCACUGCACUCCAGCCUGGGCAACAGAGCUAGACCCUGUCUCAA